GCCAACGGGUUAGCUUGCGAGUCGCGUAAAACGCUUCCCAAGCUGAAUACGCGGUUCGAUUCCCGUCAUCGGCUCCA
rnacentral:tRNA from 1 species